AAGACUAUAGACCUGCGGAGUACCUGCGGAGGGAUCAUUACAGAGUUCAUGCCCUCACGGGUAGAUCUCCCACCCUUGAAUACUAUACCUUUGUUGCUUUGGCGGGCCGCUUUGGCUACUGGCUCUGGCUAGUAAGUGCCCGCCAAAGAACCCCAAAACUCUGAAUAUUAGUGUCGUCUGAGUACUAUAUAAUAGUUAAAACUUUUAGCAAUGGAUCUCU
rnacentral:misc_RNA from 1 species